rnacentral:rRNA from 1 species
UUCAUUGAGACUUCGGUGGAUCUGAUCUAUUUCUAGUGGCGGACGGGUGAGUAACGCGUGGGUAACCUGCCUUAUACAGGGGGAUAACAGUCAGAAAUGGCUGCUAAUACCGCAUAAGCGCACAGAGCUGCAUGGCUCGGUGUGAAAAACUCCGGUGGUAUAAGAUGGACCCGCGUUGGAUUAGCUAGUUGGUGGGGUAACGGCCCACCAAGGCGACGAUCCAUAGCCGGCCUGAGAGGGUGAACGGCCACAUUGGGACUGAGACACGGCCCAGACUCCUACGGGAGGCAGCAGUGGGGAAUAUUGCACAAUGGGGGAAACCCUGAUGCAGCGACGCCGCGUGAAGGAAGAAGUAUCUCGGUAUGUAAACUUCUAUCAGCAGGGAAGAUAGUGACGGUACCUGACUAAGAAGCCCCGGCUAACUACGUGCCAGCAGCCGCGGUAAUACGUAGGGGGCAAGCGUUAUCCGGAUUUACUGGGUGUAAAGGGAGCGUAGACGGUGUGGCAAGUCUGAUGUGAAAGGCAUGGGCUCAACCUGUGGACUGCAUUGGAAACUGCAGAUCUGGAGUGCCGGAGAGGUAAGCGGAAUUCCUAGUGUAGCGGUGAAAUGCGUAGAUAUUAGGAGGAACACCAGUGGCGAAGGCGGCUUACUGGACGGUGACUGACGUUGAGGCUCG